ensembl:lncRNA LINC01587 long intergenic non-protein coding RNA 1587
ACUUCUUGUUUCAGAAUCCUGGAGAGCUGGCUAACUGCUGGGCACAAGCCCAACAGCUUGAGCCCCAGGCUGAUAGAAACCAAAGAGCACAUUUUCACUGAUUACAAAGCCAAGCUCUUAUGACUUCAGAGAAGAUGAAGCAGAGUCUGAUGCAGGACAGUUGAAUUUGGGAAGGAAGGAACACGCAAAAAUUUUUACCUUCUUCUUUCAAUUGGACACUAUGGACGGAAAUCCAGGAGAGCUGACCUUGGAACUGCAGACACUGCAGAUAAAACAGAGCCAGAAUGCUUUGCUGCCAGCUGGACCUUUGACCCAAACCCCAGUGUGACUGUCUCCGGUGCUCACUCAACUGCAGUGCAUCAAUGAAGGAAAAAAGAACUGAGCAUUGGCAAAAAGCUGAGGAUGACAAGCUUAGGGGAUGAAAGGCUGCCUUUUCCCCCCCUUCUGAGCGUUUCUGACAGCUCCCAGCUGGGAGAAACCAACAUGACGAAAAGACAAAGAAUACUGGAGAAGAGAGAGGGUGGGCAGAGCCACAACCUCAUCCUCCCAGUGGUUCCUCUUGAGUUUGAUUUGACA